UACACAGGAGGGAAUUGUGGACCAGGCCCUAUCUGGAAUGGCGCCUGGGAGUUUCCACGGUGACAGUAAACAAGCCUCAGCCUCCUCAGCUACAACUGCGGAGUUCCUCCUCUAGGUGCUCUGAGAGCUGGCGAGGUUCCGGGUGUGACUAGGAGCACAGAGACAAAGAGCCCGAGGUGAGGGCCGCUAACCCGGUGGGCUGAGGACUGUGCCCAUGGGAUGCUGAACCGCAGGCAUGGGAUUUGUAGCCCCGCUGAGUCCUGAGAGAGGGAGAAGUAAUUGGCCCCAGCGAGACAACAGUGUGUUUGCCCUGGAGAAAGGAGAGGAGGAACACUAGGAGAAACCUAUCCUGAGGAGGUCUAGCAGACACACUAUGCCCAGAGACCUAUGGCUGUGCUCUCAAGUAGCCCAGCUUGUCACCAGUGCCAAGUUUCCAAGCUCAGAGAGAGAUGGCAACUGCUGUUUAACUGUUGAAGAAAUUUCGGGGGUCUGGGAGCCUCUCAUAGCGAUGUCCCUGAUGGCGUUUCUGGAAUCGGACUCAGGGUCUUGCACAUUCUUUGCAAGCACUCCCCCCACUGAGCUCUGAGCUCUGUUCCAAGCCCAGGACAAGAUAUGUUAGUACUGUUUUCUGAAAACAGUCAUACCUUUCUUGUUUCUUUGCGUUCUGAACUUUAUUUGUUUUUGUACAAAGGCCUAGCACGCGCCCAUCUAUAGGAACAGAAACUGCGUACUAGGUUCGUCCUCCAUUUCCGGAUCUGAUCUGGGACGGAUAUGACCCUCGCGGCUUGAGCCGACGCAGAAAGAGCGACAACCCAGGCGGAUUACUCAUCCUGCUUUCCCGCGUCCAACCAGGGAGAAGGAGCGGGAUCGGACGCGCAUGCGCUUUCCUAAGUUUGUGUAGUUCCGUUCCUCUGGUUUUUGUAAAAGUCACCUAGGGAGAAGAGGCUGAAUCACUUCCUCCAUUCUUUUACCUUGAGGCGCUGGGAAGGGAACCUCAGGGCCUCGCGAGCACUCCAGCCACUUUCUCGUUUCUGUUGCACCGUUCUGCUAGGCCAGCAUGUCGUAGCAUGUUAUUGUCAUCACUACUUCCGCCGCGAUCGCCAGCGCCACGUGGCUCCACUCCUAGGAGAACACGGCUGUCAAUCUGAUUUUCGUCCCCGGGGCCGCACGCGUCCUUUAGAACCUGGGCGCGGCUGUUUCUGCGCACGCGCAGCGAUGCUAACACCAUUGGCGGGAGGGUACAGCUCGCCCCCUGGCGAGCAGCGCCGGGAGCACAAACGACACUCAAUGAUACUCUUGCGCACGCGCAGUGCAAACUCGGCCCCAGCGCGGGAUCGCAGUUUGGCCCCUAGGAGAGGGCGCGCUGCGCAAUCAGCAGCCAAGGGUUUGUGCGCAAGGCACACGCGCCUCCCCAUGAAGGAAAGCUGCGCGUGGGUCGAACGGUGCGCAUCAUGCCACUCGCCUCCGCUGCGGGGUCUCCUCUACCUUGAGGUUUUUGGGUUUGUGGUGUCUCUGGGCUUUUGCGUCAUACUCCAUAAUGGAGGGCGCCAGACCUAGUGCGAGCUACUAAACUUAGGGGAUAGAACCGGAUAGCGGAAGUUCCUAGAGCAGGCUCCCGGAAGUGAUCCAGCAAGUUCCUAGUCCAGUAAACUUUAACUCUAGUUCCCCGGACCGCGAGAAGAGGUGUACGGGUGUGGAAAUGUGAGACCACAAGGGUUUCGUGGAGAACGCGCCCCUUCACAUUUUGCCCCUAUUCCUCUCUUAAGGUGUUGAUGUAGAAAGGGAGUUUACUCUGGAGCUACAUAUAAGUGACUGGCCCAGGAUGACAGAUUCGGGUCAUUUCAAAUUCCAUUUUUAAUGUAGUAAUGUUUUGAUCGAGUGAUUUAUAUAACGGAACCAAGUUAUAAAACAAGAAAGACACGUUUCAAAUCCUGUGUUCCUCACAUUCAAUGCUGACCCCCGAACCCUACCUUAGGGAGAGG
rnacentral:lncRNA from 1 species